rnacentral:lncRNA from 1 species
AUGCCUACACAGAGGUCAGAUCUGUACCUUCAGAGAUUAGCUCCAUGCUUGAUCAAGGACUCUGCCCUUACCUGCUGCCAAAGAGAAAAGUUGCUGGGAAGACUCUUGCUGUCUAAUCCACUGUUCCUUGGAGCAAGAGACCACCCCGCACAGGGAGGGGGGAAUUUAGCUAUUGAUAGACUUAGCACAUAUCUAGCCGUAUGCCCAGAACACAACACUGCCUCCAACCUCCUCUUUAAGUCAAGUUACUUCUUAACACUAUAAGUAAAAUACAAGGUGUUCGUACGUCUGCAUGGUCAAACAGGAAGCUUCUCCUGUUACAGUAAUCUUUCUUUGGAUUAAAGUUUCCCUUAAGGAAAAACACCAAUAUCUAUCGUGAUUGCCAAAUGUAGAGCUUAUUUUAAAUGUGACUUAGUCAUCUAGAAUGCCAUAGCAACUACUGAUGAGAGUCUGAUUAUUAACAAAAUAGAAAAAGAGGACUAAUUUUAUAGAUAAAUGUAAGGAUGAAUUACUGAAGUUCCAAAAUCAAUGUCUGAUUCUAAACACAGUAACAAAUCUUUCCAUUCAGGAUUAAGAUGUCUUUAAGAGUUGAAACGAUUUUUGGAGGUCAUCCAGCCCAACUUCCAUCCAGAUAUCACGCCUCUCACAUAUAGUAGUCUUCUGAAUUAUAAAAAUUUAUAAAGUUAUUUUUUUAAAGAAAAGCUACAUAAAUAAAAAUUAUCUCUAUAUAUAGAAAUACCUAUUCAGCAAUCCCAUAAUUUAAAUAUUCAAAUUAAACUGGGUAGAACUGGUUCCUUCUCACCCCUACAGACUGUAUUUACACACUAACACAUCAAAUUACGUUUAAAUAAUAGUACUACUUGACUGAAAUGGAGAAAAAGUGUUCUAACACAGUCCCUAAUAUUUUCAUAAACCUAAAACUGUAAAUCACAUAAGUGAAUUGUAUAUUGAACUGUAAAAAAAAAAAAAAAAAAAAAAAGUAACUUGCUAAUCUGGACAAUGGUCUCAUUUAAGGUUUGAUUCUGGAAUGUAAAUACGGUUUUUCAAAAUAAUAAAAUCUCUUGUAGAUAGUCUAUGUAUUAAUCGUUUACAAGGACUAUGAAUCCAUCGCAUCACAAAUGGGAAGCUCUAGUGAUUAACCAAAUGUGCCCAACACAGAAAAUAACUCUAUUUGGUCAAAAGUAUAAAAGGUCUGACCUUAUUCGAAAUAUGAAAAAGCUGAGUAUUUGAAAGAUAUAUGAAAAUACUCAGCAAAGACACUGUGAAAACCUGAAUAACAAAGUAACUUUCUAAAAAAAUUAUUUUAGGCCACAGUAUAUAACAGAACUUAUUGCUAUUUGAAAUAUCAUUAAAAAUAGGUUUAUAUAUAGAAGAGAUUAUGUAUCAGUAAUACUAAUAUAAAACGAUAUGCUCCUUUUAGAAGACAUACUCUCUAGAUCUCAUUUCUAAAACUCUGUAUUGUGAUUUCCAAAAUUUCUGU